GAAUCCUACGGGACGCAGCAGUGGGGAAUAUUGCACAAUGGGGGGAACCCUGAUGCAGCGACGCCGCGUGGGCGAGGAAGUAUUUCGGUAUGUAAAGCCCUAUCGGCAGGGAAGAAGAAAUGACGGUACCUGAAUAAGAAGCACCGGCUAACUACGUGCCAGCAGCCGCGGUAAUACGUAGGGGGCAAGCGUUAUCCGGAUUUGCUGGGUGUAAAGGGGGCGCAGACGGCGAUGCAAGCCAGGAG
rnacentral:rRNA from 1 species